rnacentral:rRNA from 1 species
UACAGAGGUCCCGAGCGUUGCUCGGAAUCACUGGGCGUAAAGGGUGCGUAGGCGGGUCUUUAAGUCAGGGGUGAAAUCCUGGAGCUCAACUCCAGAACUGCCUUUGAUACUGAAGAUCUUGAGUUCGGGAGAGGUGAGUGGAACUGCGAGUGUAGAGGUGAAAUUCGUAGAUAUUCGCAAGAACACCAGUGGCGAAGGCGGCUCACUGGCCCGAUACUGACGCUGAGGCACGAAAGCGUGGGGAGCAAACAGG